CAGGACCCGGAUGUAUGGCUGCCCUGUCUGAGGAGCGGAUGGGACUUCAUCGUCAUCGGCAUAUUCAGUAAAUCCAAGAACCAUGAUGGAAUCAAGACCGCACCAAACAACCGAUGUGCAAAAGACAACAAACUGUGCAAAUACAAAAGAAAAGAAAUAAUAAGUAUGCAUUAAACACUGAGGACAUGAGAUGAAGAGUCCAUGAAAGUGAGUCCAUAGGUUGUGGGAACAGCUCAGUGAUGGGGAUCAGACAACUUCCUGGUCUCACUGAUCACUUCAAGUAGGAUGGGUUCUGCACAGCUGCUGAAAUAACCAUUAUGACAGAAGCCCACUGUUCGUCCAGUUUCAAAUUCCUCUGAGUACGUCAUGUAUAAACUUCAAAAGCACAACACUGAGCGACUCUGCUUGAAACGGGAGGCAGAAUACACAGUGAGUGAGAAAGGGGCUCAGAGAAGAGGUAAUGUAAAACACAUAAGACAUAGGAAGUGAAUUAGUCCAUUCAGCCCAUCAAAUCUGCUCUGCCAUUCUAUCACGGCUGAUUUGUUUUCCCUCUCAAACCCAUUCUCCUGCUUUCUCCCCAUAACCUUUGACAUUCUUACUAAUUAAGACCAAUCAACCUCCACUUUAAAGGGCAGAUGAUGCAUAUCAAUGAGCACAAAUUAAUGGAUUUCCUGUUGCUGUGCUUGGAUUUGAGUGUAAAAUUGUUACUUUUCUCAUAGUUUAAAUUUUUCUAGGCUUGCUCAAUUUUUUUUAAUAAUGUAAUCACCUAUAUGUGUAAGUGUUCAGUGAAACUUUCAGUGAUUGUGGUGUAGCUGAUUCUGUAUUUUCUAGAAGCUUCUUAUUUAUUCAGUCAUGAUGAAGCUUCUCAGCCUCUCCAUAGAUGCUGUCGAACCUGCUGAGUCCCUUCAGCAUUUUGUGUGUGUUGAUCAAUAUUUCCAGCAUCUGCAGAACCUCUUGUUUAUUCAAUUUGUUUUAUUGACAUACAGCGUGGAGUAGGCCCCUCUGGUCCUUAAAGCUGUGCUGCUCCACAGUCCCCAGUUUAAUCAUGGGGAGAACAUACGAACUUCUUACAGACAGUGGCAGGAAUUGACCCAGGUCAAAUUGAAAUAUCACAUCACUUGAAACUGGCCAUUUCAUAAUUUAUUUGUUCUCAUGGAAGCCUUGUUCUCUUCGAGUCUCAUUGACCAUUGUCCCUCUGUUGUCUCUUUAGCAUGACCAAGGUUCACAGCUUUGGAAUCUGUGGGCUUGUAAAAUCAGGAAAUUUCUCUGGAAAUUUCGCGGAGAAUGGUAGCCCUUGCAGCUCAGGUUGUUCGAAAGCAGAUGGAUUCUGCUGAUUGCAAAAUUAUCUCAGCUCAGCUAAUUAUCCCUAAAGGACAUGCCAAUAAGACAACAGAACCACACAAGUGGAGAAUUUCAAAAUAUGACAAUUAAUGUUACUUUAUUCACUUGGCCAUGAUAAGUUGCAACUCUAUACACUCACUGGCCACUUUACAUGCUCGCGGCCUUCUGCUGCAGUAGCCCAACCACUUCAAGGUUUGAUAAUCUUCUGCACACUACUGUGUAACGUGUAGUUAUCUGCGUUAUUGUCACUUUCCUGUCACCUUGAACCAGUCUGACAAUUCUCCUCUGACCUCUCUCAUUAACAAGGCAUUCUCGUCCACAGAAAUGCUGCUCACUGGAUUUUUUUUUCUUGUUUAUUGCACCAUUCUUUGUAAACUCUAGAGACUGUUGUGUGUGAGAACACCAGGAGAUCAGCAGCUUUUGAGAUACUUAAACUACCCCAUCUGGCACCAACAAUCAUUUCAUGGUCAACAUCGCUUAAAUCUCAUUCUGAUGUUUGAACCUUCUUUUUAUGGAUUUUGUUCUUAGUUCUUUGUUCUACCAGGAAUGGCUGCAAGAAAACUAAUCAAAUAUAUGUAUUUUGAUAAUAAAUUUACUUUGAACUUUGAAAUAAAAGGUCCUUGAAGACCCAGAAAUUUGUCUUUGGAAUUGAAACUGCAUUGGCAUGUUGGUCCAUGGCUUCCUCUUCUGUCACAAUGGAGGAGCAACACCUCUUAUUCCAUCUAGGUUGCCCGCAGCCUGAUGGCAUGAACAUUGAUUUCUCCUUCUGGUAACCUUUUUUAAAAAGCUUUCUUUUUUUUCUUUCUCCUUCUCCUUCCCUCUUCUAUUCCCCACUUGGGCCUCUUACUUCUUCUCCUCAUCUGCCUAUCACUUCCCCCUGGUGCCAACCCUUCUUUCCUUUCCCCCUUGACCUAUCACCUCCCACAGCUUUCCCUUCCCGUUUCCCUUUCUCCCAUGGCCUAUCACCUGCCCCUGGCACCCCUCCUGCUUUCUCCCUUCAGAUUUUUUCCUCUCCAGGCCUGUGGUGAACUACAUAUACCUGUCUGGACACGCCCCCUGCUGACUGCUCCUGUGGCUCCUCCCACAAACCCCUGUAUAAAGGCGAUCAGAGCCUGGGGCCGGCCCUCAGUCUCCAGGAUGUAGUGUGGUGGUCAAUUGCUGCUUGUUCUUUCUUCCAGCCAGUAAAAGCCUAAUCUCGCCUCACGUCUCGGAGAGUUAUUGAUGGUGCAUCAAAGCCUUUACCUUUCCCACCUACCGGGCUUCACCUAUCACAUUCUAGCUCAUUCUCUUUAACCUCCCCCCACCUUUUUAUUCUGGCACCUCCUCUUUCCAGUACUGAAGAAGGGGCUUGGCCCGAAACAUCGACUGUUCAUUAAUUUUCAUGAAGGCUGCCUGACCAGCUGAGUUCCUUCAGCAUUUUGUAUGUGUUGGUUUGGUUAUUUUCUUCUUUGUUUAAAAUGCUCCUGGUUGAGGUCAGGAGUGUGCAUCAGAGCAUAACGCUUCACAGGUGGUCGGUCUGCUGUGAUUCUUUGGAGGCCCUGUCAGUUGCCACUGACAGCUGUUCAGACAGUGAGACAUGACACAGACUCUGUCCACUGCCCUGAAAUGGCACUUGCUGAUGCUUGUGUUGACGGGACUCGCAUUUCACUCAUAUAUGUGAGCAUGGAAGAUGUAAUAGUGAGGCUUUAUAAAGCAUCGGUCAGAAUGCACUCGGAUUAUUUGAGUGCAGUUUCGGACCCCUUAUCUAAAAACAUAUUGGAGAGGGUCUGGAGGAGGUUCAGGAGAAUGAUCCAGGGAAAGAAAAGGUUAAUACCUGAGGAGUUUUUGCAAGCUCUGGGCCUGUAGUAACUGGAAUUUAGAAGAAUGAAGGAGGAUCACAUUGAAACCUAGCAACAUAUUGAAAGGCCUUGAUUGAGUGGAUGUGGAGAGGAUGUUUCUUACAGUGGGGAGUCUAGGACCAGAGGUUACAGCCUCAGAAUAGAAAGACAUUGCUUCUGGGCUUUCUCCUUCAAAGUAGCACCACUCAAACUGACCCGGGAUAGAUUGAGCAAACACAGACCAAUCUGCAUAGAGGGGUCAGAAGUGGAGAGAAUAAACAAUUUCAAGUUCCUGGCUGUCAAAAUCUCUGAGGACCUAACCUGGUCCCAACAUAUCGACGCAGGCAAGACAGUGGCUAUAUUUCAUUAGGAAUUUGAGAUUUAGUUUGUCACCUAAGAUACUUGAGAACUUUCACAGAUGUAUACCGCAGAAAGCAUUCUAA